GUAGAUAUAGUUUAACAAAGACAUUAGAUUGUGGUUCUAAAAAUAGGGGUUAGACUCCCCUUAUCCACC
rnacentral:tRNA from 1 species